rnacentral:misc_RNA from 1 species
AAAGUCGUAACAAGGUUUCCGUAGGUGAACCUGCGGAAGGAUCAUUAAAAAAUGUACGCCUAAGUGGCGCUGAAAAGUGUCACUUAGUGCUGUAUAUAACCACCUGUUUACCUUUACCUGUUGCUUCCGUGGAGUAUGAGUGCCCUAACUGAAUAAGUCUGGGUUACUUUCCACGGGUGUAUUUAAAAAAUUGUCUUGCUGAAUUGUCUGAUAAAAAAUUUAAUAAGUUAAAACUUUCAACAACGGAUCUCUAGGUUCUC